rnacentral:rRNA from 1 species
UUUCGAAAAACUAAAGGCUUAUGGUGAAUACCUAGGCACCCAAAGACGAUGAAGGGCGUACUUACCGACGAUACGCUUCGGGGAGCUGGAAUGACGCUUUGAUCCGAAGAUUCCCGAAUAGGGCAACCUAUAAAACUUCUUUUUGAAUUCAUAGAAAAGAAAGAGACAACCGAGUGAAUUGAAACAUCUUAGUAGCUCGAGGAAGAGAAAGCAAAAGCGAUUCCCGGAGUAGCGGCGAGCGAAAUGGGAACAGCCUAAAGGAAUAUUCCAUUUAAUGUGAAUAUUUCGGUUGUGGGACAUGAAUAUUUAGUAAUAACAAAAUACGAACUGAAACAGCUGAGUCCUGUACCAAAGAAGGUGAGAGUCCUGUAAGUUUUUCUUUUAUUAUUUCUCAUGAAUCCCGAGUAGCAUGGGGCACGUGAAAUCCCGUGUGAAUCUGCGAGGACCACCUCGUAAGGCUAAAUACUCUUGGGUGACCGAUAGUGAAACAGUACCGUGAGGGAAAGGUGAAAAGAACCUCAUCAGGGGAGUGAAAUAGACCAUGAAACCGUAAGCUUACAAGCAAUGGGAGAGUCUUGAGACUUGACCGUGUGCCUGUUGAAGAAUGAGCUGGCGACUUAUAGGGAGAGGCUUGGUUAAGAAACUUAGUUUUGCAGCCAGAGCGAAAGCAUGUUUGAAUAGAGCAUUUGUCUCUUCUUAUAGACCCGAACCCGGGUGAUCUAACCAUGACCAGGAUGAAGCUUCGGUGAUACGGAGUAGAGGUCCCAACCGACCGAUGUUGAAAAAUCGACGGAUGAGUUGUGGUUAGGGGUGAAAUACCAAUCGAACUCGGAGCUAGCUGGUUCUCCCCGAAAUGCAUUUAGGUGCAGCUGUUUGUCAUGAACUACUCUGGGGUAAAGCACUGUAUCGGUGCGGGCUGCGAAAGCGGUACCAAAUCGUAGCAAACUAAGAAUACAGAGUAUGAAUGCGGCAAACAAGUGAGACAGUGGGCGAUAAGGUUCAUUGUCAAGAGGGAAACAGCCCAGAUCACCAGCUAAGGCCCCUAAAUAGGUACUAAGUGGCAAAGGAGGUGGGAGUGCUAAGACAGCCAAAAGGUUUGCCUAGAAGCAGCCAUCCUUGAACGAGUGCGUAACAGCUCAUUGGUCGAGCGCUCUUGCGCCGAAAAUGAACGGGACUAAGUACUUUGCCGAAGCUGUGAGGGGAGGUUUGACCUCUCCGGUAGGGGAGCGUUCUGCUUGCGAGUGAUGAAGGCGGGUAACUGUCCUUUUGACGAAGCAGAAGUGAGAAUGUCAGCUUGAGUAACGAAAACAGCAGUGUGAAUCUGCUGCCCCGAAAACCUAAGGGUUCCUCUGGAAGGUUCGUCCACGGAGGGUGAGUCAGGACCUAAGGUGUAGCCGAAAGGCGGAGCUGAUGGCAAAUCAGGCGAACAUUCCUGUACUAGUUUAUAUUUAGUCCCGGGGGACAGGGAAGGGGAAACCCUCUCUUUUGGAAUAAAAAACAAAAGUAUCCUUCAAGAAAAGCCCGAACGACUUUUGAAUAUAAAUUACCUGUACCGUAAUCCGACACAGGUGGGUAAGUAGAGUAUACUAAGGGGCGCGAGAUAACUCUCUCCAAGGAACUCGGCAAAAUGGCCCCGUAACUUCGGAAGAAGGGGUGGGAAGAUUUUAUCUUCUCCGCAGUGACCUGACCCAAGCGACUGUUUACCAAAAACACAGGUCUCCGCGAAGUCGUAAGACGAUGUAUGGGGGCUGACGCCUGCCCAGUGCCAGAAGGUUAAGGAAGUUGGUUCGGGAACUUGUUCCCAAAGCUGGCGACCGAAGCCCUGGUGAACGGCGGCCGUAACUAUAACGGUCCUAAGGUAGCGAAAUUCCUUGUCGGGUAAGUUCCGACCUGCACGAAAGGCGUAACGAUUUGGGUACUGUCUCGGAGAGAGACUCGGUGAAAUAGACAUGUCUGUGAAGAUGCGGACUACCUGCACUUGGACAGAAAGACCCUAUGAAGCUUUACUGUAACUUGGGAUUGAAUUUGGGUUCAUCUUGCGCAGCUUAGGUGGAAGGCUAUGAAGCGAAGGUUCCGGCUUUUGUGGAGCCACCAGUGAGAUACCACUCUGGAUGAACUAGAAUUCUCAAUGCACAGGGGAAUCCCUUGCGUGACAGUCUCAGGCGGGCAGUUUCUCUGGGGCGGAGUCCUCCUAAAAGGUAACGGGGGUGUACAAAGGUUCCCUCAGGCUGGACGGAAAUCAGUCAAAGAGUGCAAUGGCAGAAGGGAGCUUGACUGCGAGACCUACAAGUCGAGCAGGGACGAAAGUCGGUCAUAGUGAUCCGACGGUGCUGCGUGGAAAGGCCGUCGCUCAACGGACAAAAGUUACUCUAGGGAUAACAGGCUAAUCUCCUCCAAGAGUCCAUAUCGACGAGGAGGUUUGGCACCUCGAUGUCGGCUCAUCGCAUCCUGGGGCGGUAGUACGUCCCAAGGGUCUGGCUGUUCGCCAGUGAAAGCGGUACGU